rnacentral:rRNA from 1 species
UACGGAGGGUGCAAGCGUUAAUCGGAAUUACUGGGCGUAAAGCGUGCGCAGGCGGUUCGUUGUGUCGGUGGUGAAAUCCCCGGGCUUAACCUGGGAAUGGCCAUGGAAACUGGCGAACUGGAGUGCGGCAGAGGGGGGUGGAAUUCCGCGUGUAGCAGUGAAAUGCGUAGAGAUGCGGAGGAACACCGGUGGCGAAGGCGGCAUCCUGGACCGGAUAUUGACGCUGAUGCGCGAAAGCCAGGGGAGCAAACGGG